rnacentral:tRNA from 1 species
GCCCAGAUAGCUCAGUCGGUAGAGCANNAGGGGACUGAAAAUCCCCGUGUCCCUGGUUCGAUUCCGGGUCUGGGCACCA